UCAAAGUAUUUUAUUUUUAUUCUUUUAUACAAAUUGUAUGAAUGUGAAAUUUGGUACGUGUUAUCUUCUCAUUGGGGUGCACCUAUAAAAAAUAUUAAGAAUAAUUUUUUGAUAAAACAUAAUGACCAAAAUACCCCUUGAAUUUUUUAGGGGUAUUUUGGAUAUGUUAUUUUAUUGGAAGUAUUUUUUUUUUAUAGUUUUCGCUAGUGUGAGUUUUAUAGAGGAAUGGACAUCCAAAAUUUGGUGUCAAAAUAAUUUAUAGAAAAAAAUUAAAAAUAAAAUAGUGUAGAGAUGUGACAUUAUGAUUGGGAUAAUCUUCGCCUUCCAUUCAGAACGGACGGUUAGAUAAAGGGGAGGAUAGAACUUCUAUGAUAUAAGUGAAGUAUAGAAAGCUUGCCCAACCUCUAAACAAACAUUGCUAGGUUGUAAGGGAAGCAUAGAAAGCUUGCCCAACUUCUAAA
rnacentral:lncRNA from 1 species